GGGCGCAGCCUNGAUCCAGCNAUGCCGCGGUGGAGUGAUGAAGGCCNUCGGGUCGUAAAGCUCUUUUACCACGGGAAUGAUAAUGACAGGUACCUGGAGAAUAAGCUCCGGCUAACUCCGUGCCAGCAGCCGCGGUAAUACGACGUGCCAGCAGCCGCGGUAAUACGA
rnacentral:rRNA from 1 species